rnacentral:rRNA from 1 species
GACGAACGCUGGCGGCGUGCUUAACACAUGCAAGUCGAACGGAAAGGCCCUGCUUUUGUGGGGUGCUCGAGUGGCGAACGGGUGAGUAACACGUGAGUAACCUGCCCUUGACUUUGGGAUAACUUCAGGAAACUGGGGCUAAUACCGGAUAGGAGCUCCUGCUGCAUGGUGGGGGUUGGAAAGUUUCGGCGGUUGGGGAUGGACUCGCGGCUUAUCAGCUUGUUGGUGGGGUAGUGGCUUACCAAGGCUUUGACGGGUAGCCGGCCUGAGAGGGUGACCGGCCAAAUUGGGACUGAGAUCCGGCCAGACUUCCUACGGAGGGAAGCAGGGGGGAUAAUUGCAAAAGGGGGGAAACCCUGAUGCGCAACCGCCGCGGGCGGGAUAAGGCCCUUCGGGUGGAAACCGGGUUUCGCUUGUGACGAGGCGUGGUGAACGGUAUUGGGUAAGAAGCACCGGCUAACUACGUG